UAUGUUAUGAAAAACAUAUGUUUACCAUUAAUUGGAGUGAGUAGCAAGUAAAAACUUUUAGUCAUGCGACAAAUGACUGGUAAAGAUGUGAGACAGAUAUAAGUUUACUUUUCCUUAGUAGGGAUGAUGGAGCAAAAAUAUGUGCUCUAUAUCUAUCUUGUGCUUUAUAUGGCAUUUCGAACUAUUUUUCAAUUUUAAAAACUUGUUA
rnacentral:lncRNA from 1 species